rnacentral:lncRNA from 1 species
UUUUUCCCAUCAUUGUUCCUGAGUUCCUCUUCUUCGCUUGCUUCCAUCCAUCGCCAGUUCCCUCUCGCUUCGUCCAUUGCCGGCUCCCUCUCUUUCUAUUUCAUCCAUCGCUGGCUCCCUCAUCUGUAAGCUCGCGAAUUUCCUCUAUUUUUGUAGACUUUUCUUUCGAAUUGAAGCUGGGUUCUUCUCUUUUUGUUUGGGAGUGCUUUCUCGAGCUGGAUUUCUUGUCAGAUUGGCGGAAAAAGUUUGCAUUUUUUUGUUCAUAUGGGUCUUGCUGUUUUUGUUGUUGAUGGCACUAGAUUUAAAAUUAAUUGUUUGGGGUUAAUUUUUCCUUCAACUGGUAGAACACACAAAUCCAGUUGUUCGUUGCCGAAGCCAAAGCCAACAGAAGGAGAAGAGGAAGACCCAAUGAAGCACUCCUCAGUACUCGUUGCGGCUUCGCUCUCGAAACUAAAGCCAGUAGAAGAAGAAGAGGAAGACCCACCAAAGCAUUCCUCAAUACUCAUUGCAAGGCUAUGAACCCAGAAAGAAUGCGGUUAUCGAAGGUACGAGGCGCUCUUGUGCAUUUUCUUAAGUACCUAUGUUAUAAUAGUCUAUCUUUGUGGGGUAAAAAAAAUCUCAAAAUCAGAUCAACUGAGUUCACACUUAAUAAUUUGUAUGUUUUAUUGUUUUCUUUGCUUAUUACCCUUUUCCUCAGGUUACUUGCUUAUGCGUACGAGGAAAUUGCAGACAUCAUUAGAAGCCAUCAAUUGGAGAUUGUAACUCUUGCUACUUUAUUAUCAUAGUCUUGUGGAUCCUUAGUUUUUCAUAAUCA